rnacentral:rRNA from 1 species
GAUGAACGCUAGCGGCAGGCUUAAUACAUGCAAGUCGAGGGGCAGCAGGUUUGUAGCAAUACAGAUGCUGGCGACCGGCAAACGGGUGAGGAACACGUACGCAACUUUCCUUCAAGUGAGGAAUAGCUCAGGGAAACUUGGAUUAAUACUUCGUAAUAUUAUGAGAUGGCAUCAUUUUAUAAUUAUAGCUUCGGCGCUUGAAGAUGGGCGUGCGCCUGAUUAGGUAGUUGGCGGGGUAACGGCCCACCAAGCCGACGACAAGGAACUGGUGCGAGUGCCGCAACAGUCACGCGGGCAGGGAGACAGUGACCCGGCUCCUACGGGAGGCAGCAAUAAGGAAUAUGGGGCAAUGGACGGAAGUAUUACCCAACCAUCACGCGUGGAGGAAGGAGGUCCUCUGCAUUGUAAACUUCGUUUAUUUGGAAAGAAAUCUAUGGUUUCUACUGUAGUAGACGGUACCAGAUGAAUAAGCACCGACUAACUCUGAGCCAGCAGCCCCAGGAACAC